UGUGAGGGUGAUAUGGCUGCGACAUCUGUCACCCAUUGAUUGCCAGGUUGAUUCGGCUGAUCUGGCUGGCUAGGCAGGUGUCCCCUCCCUCCCUCACUGCGCCAUAUGCCUCCCUCCCAAAGCUGUGCAUUUGGUCAAAGAGGAAGACCACCCCCAAUAGAGGAGGACCGUUCCGCAGUCAAGGGUAGAUGAGUAGCUGCAUUCCCCUGCUAGAACCUCCAAACAAGCUCUCAAGAAGUGUUCCUUCUUCCCUGCAAAUUCCCCAGCAUUUGCUACUAUUUGAUUUCUUCAUGAAGGCUAUUCUUUCUG
ensembl:misc_RNA 7SK 7SK RNA